GUACAUAAUAAAAGCAUUGACAUUUUUAAUGUUUUGUAUGGAAUAUCUCUAGGAUGAACUGGGAAGUCCACUGACUGCCUUCACUGCUGCCUUUGGCUUGGUUUUGUAAUUUUACAUCUUUGUCCUUACACCGGAGCCUGAUCCAGGAAACCAGGGAGUACUUCAGGUUCUUCCAUUGAAAUGCUUGAGGCUGAAAGUUAGCUGAAUGCAAAAAGAAUCAAGAAACAGAGAAACAUUCCAUGGUCCUUAAAACCCAAAGGAGUGAUUCCUUCUGUGCUGCCACACCAGUGGAGAUUGCAGCAGGGUCUCCUUCCACACCAGUGGCUACACUGGAGCAGAUUCUCUGGCUCUGGUUCCUGUCCCUGGGAGUUGUCCUGGCUAGAUGGCUGUGAGGAGGUGGGAAGAAAUGCACAGCAGUCCUGUGUUCACUCACUUGGCUGCCAAACAUGCACAUUUCACUGCUUUCUUGAGAGCACUUUCCUGCUGUGGAAAUGUGAUAUGCCUGACUAGGUAGGCCAACAGCUGUGUGAUUGUCCAUCUGCUGCUUCUCCAGAUUAAAUAUUAGCC
rnacentral:lncRNA from 1 species